rnacentral:lncRNA from 1 species
UGGUUACACACAAAGGGAGCACGUGAAACUAUCAUGGCUGCAUAACAGAAUCUUCUGACUUGGCUGCUGACUUGGCAUUGACAGUUGAUUUGCUUCUCUUUUGUAACUCAGCAUAGUGUGCUUUCUUCAUAGCCCCCUCAAACUCAAGGGACAUAAAUGUACGUCGAGUUUGGUUCUCAAGUAAUGAAAAUGAAGAGAAGUGAGAGGUUUAGUCAGA